GACGAACGCUGGCGGCGUGCCUAAUACAUGCAAGUAGAACGCUGAAGGAGGAGCUUGCUCUUCUGGAUGAGUUGCGAACGGGUGAGUAACGCGUAGGUAACCUGCCUGGUAGCGGGGGAUAACUAUUGGAAACGAUAGCUAAUACCGCAUAACAGUAGAUGUUGCAUGACAUUUACUUAAAAGGUGCAAUUGCAUCACUACCAGAUGGACCUGCGUUGUAUUAGCUAGUUGGUGGGGUAACGGCUCACCAAGGCGACGAUACAUAGCCGACCGGAGAGGGGGCUCGGCCACACUGGGACUGAGACACGGCCCAGACUCCUACGGGAGGCAGCAGUAGGGAAUCUUCGGCAAUGGCCGGAAGUCUGACCGAGCAACGCCGCGUGAGUGAAGAAGGUUUUCGGAUCGUAAAGCUCUGUUGUAAGAGAAGAACGAGUGUGAGAGUGGAAAGUUCACACUGUGACGGUAUCUUACCAGAAAGGGACGGCUAACUACGUG
rnacentral:rRNA from 1 species